rnacentral:lncRNA from 1 species
CCAGAGGGCGGCCGCCUGCCCGAGCGCCGCGCGCGUCCCGCUCUGCCCGUGGGCGGCCCGCCAGAAGGCCGCCCUCUGCGCGUGGGGGGGCUGGAGCUCCCGCCGCCGGCCGCCGCUGCCCGCGCGGAGCAGGACCCCGGCUACCACAGCCUGGAGGAGGAGGUGCACGGGCUGCCGCGCGCGCACGCGGGGUCCGAGCACACAGGCCAGCCUGCGACAACCGGCUCAUCGACUACAUCCUGGGGGGCGGCCCGGCGGACAGCGGCUCCGACGGGGAGGACGCCGCGGACGACGGCUUCGACAGCAGCAGCUCGCUCGCCGAGUCGGACCCGGAGCCGGACGCCGAGGGCCUGAGCCGCUGCGCGCCCCGGCCCCCCGGGCUACUACCUCAGUUUGUAAUCUACCGGUCAUUGUUUUAUGCCUCUCUGGUUCGCUCUAAAAACUGCCGCCAGCGUUAAUAUGUGUAUUCAUCCGUAAACACUCUGCAGGCAAGACCAGUACAAAAGUUGACCCUUCAAUCAAGACCUCAAGAAAGAGAGGGCAGGAGCCACAACCAUACUGGGAAAUAUGUGGCUGGCAGAGGAAAUGGCCACUGCAAAGGCCCUGAGGAUUAUAAAACUUUCAGCAAUUCAAGUCCAAAAAAGGAAGCAACUGUGAUAAGGGAAAUAAGCAUGAAAUAGAGUAAUCAGAGAUGGUGUCAGACGAUUUGAAGGAAACAGUUGGUCUCGCUGCUGGUUAAAGUUCAAGACAAAGGAGUCACUAUCCACACUAUAUACUUUUGUACUUUAUAAAUUUGGUGGCAAAGGCAGCCUGUAAAUUGAAAUAGAUUCCCCCUUAAUACCAUCUAUUGUUUGAGUUAUGGCCUCUGUAUUGUAAGAGUCACCAUGGAAUAUAUGGGACUAUGUCUUCCUGCUUUGAGGAUGGAUCUCACUCUACAAGGCACAAACACACAUACACACAAACACCAGACCUUUGCUUGUUGGGCUGUGUUCUUACCAUGCUUUGAGUCCUACUGAUUAAUUGAAGAGUGUGUAUAAAUCAAACUGGCCAGAUCAAUUAUCACUCCCCUAAAGAAUGUAGAAGUGGUACCUGAAAUUCCAGUUAGUAACUUCCUGUGUACAAAUAAAAUUGAAAAUCCAGAUUGGUACACUCAAUUUCUACCCUGUAUUUAAAGAAACGUAUGCAUUUUUUCAGUAAACUAAAAGAGAGAGAGACGAGAGAGAGAGAGAAAUGAAAUGGACAUGAAUGAAGAAAAGACCAAACAGUUCAGGUGGUCUCUGAGAGACCAUAAAGAAGAAAAAGCAUCCUUGGUUCUAAUGACAUUCCAACCCUUGUUAUAUCUCCUUGAUGCUUAACAAAAAAAAAAUAAAAAUAAGGGAGCAAAAAUAAAUUUGGCCAUAGGACAAAUGUAGUGAUAUCUUUAUACUACAGACUAAACACUCCAAAAGAAAAAUCUACUAAGGAAAUAAACCAACACUUCACCAAAGAAAAUAUUCAAAGAAUAUCAAAGGCUGAGCUUAUUAUAUAUGAAGCAGUAGAAGAGUUGUUUUUUCUGUGCCUAUUCCACAUUUAUUUGACCAAUUAGAUUUUCUAUGAUCUUAUAGGGGAUGAGUAAAAUCCCUUUCACUCUUCUAAUGUGGUAUCUUUUCUUUGUUUUUCCUGGGCUUUGAGUUUUGAUCUCUGUUUUCACAAAUACAAUGGGCACUCUCUAGUCUGAUUCUGGCCUUUGUAUAACAUGCUAAUGCCUCUUCGUACCAUGCUCUAUAAAAUUUUGCUUAUUCCAUGGCAAUCCAUCCUCUGACUCCAAAUGACAAUCUUCAUAAGAUUUAUGCCUCAAGAUAUUACAUCAUCCACAUAUUUGACAUUGUACUGUGACUUCAUAAUUAUAAUGUAAGUACCAAAGGAGCAGGGCCUUCAUCUUCAUUGUUUACUGUAGCUUUUCAAGUGGUAUGUGAAUAUAUGUAAACUUAGAGAGAAAUAAAUUUAAGAAGAUGAGUAUUUAUGAAAUAAAUGGAUUAGCAGAGAUAAAACCAGUAAAAUAGAGUGAUCUCAUGCAAGUAUGUUAUUCAAAAUUGAAUGGAGCAUUGAACACUAACUGAAGUAUGAUGUAAAACAACAGUAAUUGAACAAUAGUAACAUGGAUCAAUAAUUAAUUUAGCAAAGAUCUUGUCAUAAGGGAAUGUAACACAAAAUGUACCUAGAACUUUCCGGCAUGCACAGAUACUGUGUUAUAAUAUGUUCAAUAAAUCAGGAAUUAGAUCUCAGUACAUAUGGACAUUUAAUAUGUGACGAGGUGUAUUUCAGUUUAAAUGGUAAAAGAUGAUUGUUCCAAUCAUCUUUGGUAUAAAUGGCUGUCCAUCUGGAAGAAAACUAAAUGGUUCCCUAUUUCACACAUCUUAAAAAGUCAGGAUUAAAGACAUCAAUGUAAAGGGACACCGUACAUUUAAGGUGUAAAAAAGCUACAUAUAAAAGCUACAAGUGGGCAAAACCAUU